GGGGGCGAUCGGUAUCGACGGGGCAAGAGAUAUGUUGGACCGCACGCGGAGGAUGAUAGUUACCUCCUUAAUCACCUGUCACAUCAUUAGUUGCCGAUUACGGCUACAUGGCCGCUGCUUAAUUAGCGGUCCGUUCCGGAUUCGAUGAGUCUAUGGUUUAAUCUAGGAGCGUCACUUACAUAGGCUGGCUCCGAAUAUGCCUGCAGGUUCGGAGUAAGAUCUAAGUAGGCUGGUCCUUCCUAUUUUUUGUCGCUGAUAAAGGGUUGGAUAAGAUUUUAAUUGGAUGACUAAGCGUGUAGACGUCUUCCAUCACUCUGUUUCGGACGGGAGUUCGAUUCUCCCCGCCUCCAC
rnacentral:tmRNA from 1 species